rnacentral:lncRNA from 1 species
UUUCAGGGCAGUAUUUGGGGCAUUUUUUGGGUAAUUUCAGGGCGGUUUUUGGGGCAUUUUUUGGGUAAUUUCAGGGCAGUUUUGGGGCAUUUUUGGGGGCACUUCAGGGCGGUUUUUGGGGCACUUCAGGGCAGUUUUGGGGCAUUUUCUGGGUCACUCCAGGGCGGUUUUUGGGGCAUUUUUUGGGUCACUUUAGGGCGGUUUUUGGGUCACUUCAGGGCAGUUUUUGGAGCAUUUUUUGGGUCACUCCAGGAAGGUUUUUGGAGCAUUUUUUGGGCCAUUUCAGGGCGGUUUUUGGGGCAUUUUUUGGGUAAUCUCAGGGCAGUUUUGGGGCAUUUUUUGGGUCACUCCAGGGUGGUUUUGGGGCAUUUUUGGGCCAUUUUAGGGCGGUUUUUGGGUCACUCCAGGGCAGUUUUGGGGCAUUUUUUGGGCCAUUUCAGGGCGGUUUUCGGGGCGCUCCGGGGCAGUUUUGGGGCAUUUUUCGGGUCACUCCAGGGCGGUUUUUGGGUCAUUUUUUGGGUCACUCCAGGGCAGUUUUGGGGCAUUUUUUGGGCCAUUUCAGGGCAGUUUUGGGGCAUUUUUUGGGUCACUCCAGGGCGGUUUUGGGGCAUUUUUGGGCCAUUUCAGGGCGGUUUUGGGUCACUCCAGGGCGGUUUUGGGGCAUUUUUUGGGUCAUUUCAGGGUGGUUUUUGGGUCACUUCAGGGCGGUUUUUGGGUCACUCCAGGGCAGUUUUGGGGCAUUUUUUGGGUCACUCCAGGGCAGUUUUGGGGCAUUUUUUGGGCCAUUUCAGGGCGGUUUUUGGGUCACUCCAGGNNNNNNNNNNCUCCAGGGCAGUUUUGGGGCAUUUUUGGGCCAUUUCAGGGCGGUUUUUGGGUCACUUCAGGGCGGUUUUUGGGGCACUUCAGGGCGGUUUUUGGGGCAUUUUUUGGGCCAUUUCAGGGCGGUUUUCGGGGCGCUCCGGGGCGGUUUUUGGGGCAUUUUUGGGCCAUUUCAGGGCGGUUUUUGGGGCAUUUUUCGGGUCACUCCAGGGCAGUUUUGGGGCAUUUUUGGGCCAUUUCAGGGCAGUUUUAGGGGCAUUUUUUGGGCCACUUCAGGGCGGUUUUUGGGUCACUCCAGGGCAGUUUUGGGGCAUUUUUGGGCCAUUUCAGGGCGGUUUCCGGGGCGCUCCGGGGCUCCCUAGAAGAAGAGGCCGCGCAUGCGGCGCCCGAUGCCCUGGCGGUCGUAGAGGACGUUGA